UUUGGUUAAGUUAGAAAGGGCGCACGGUGGAUGCCUUGACACUAGGAGUCGAUGAAGGACGGGACUAACGCCGAUAUGCUUCGGGGAGCUGUAAGUAAGCUUUGAUCCGAAGAUUUCCGAAUGGGGAAACCCACCAUACGUAAUGGUAUGGUAUCCUUAUCUGAAUACAUAGGGUAAGGAAGACAGACCCAGGGAACUGAAACAUCUAAGUACCUGGAGGAAGAGAAAGCAAAUGCGAUUUCCUGAGUAGCGGCGAGCGAAACGGAACAUAGCCCAAACCAAGAGGCUUGCCUCUUGGGGUUGUAGGACAUUCUAUACGGAGUUACAAAGGAACGAGGUAGACGAAGCGACCUGGAAAGGUCCGUCGUAGAGGGUAACAACCCCGUAGUCGAAACUUCGUUCUCUCUUGAAUGUAUCCUGAGUACGGCGGAACACGUGAAAUUCCGUCGGAAUCUGGGAGGACCAUCUCCCAAGGCUAAAUACUCCCUAGUGAUCGAUAGUGAACCAGUACCGUGGGGGAAAGGUGAAAAGCACCCCGGAAGGGGAGUGAAAGAGAUCCUGAAACCGUGUGCCUACAAAUAGUCAGAGCCCGUUAACGGGUGAUGGCGUGCCUUUUGUAGAAUGAACCGGCGAGUUACGAUCCCGUGCGAGGUUAAGCUGAAGAGGCGGAGCCGCAGCGAAAGCGAGUCUGAAUAGGGCGUUUAGUACGUGGUCGUAGACCCGAAACCAGGUGAUCUACCCAUGUCCAGGGUGAAGUUCAGGUAACACUGAAUGGAGGCCCGAACCCACGCACGUUGAAAAGUGCGGGGAUGAGGUGUGGGUAGCGGAGAAAUUCCAAUCGAACCUGGAGAUAGCUGGUUCUCCCCGAAAUAGCUUUAGGGCUAGCCUUAAGUGUAAGAGUCUUGGAGGUAGAGCACUGAUUGGACUAGGGGUCCUCAUCGGAUUACCGAAUUCAGUCAAACUCCGAAUGCCAAUGACUUAUCCUUAGGAGUCAGACUGCGAGUGAUAAGAUCCGUAGUCAAAAGGGAAACAGCCCAGACCGCCAGCUAAGGUCCCAAAGUGUGUAUUAAGUGGAAAAGGAUGUGGAGUUGCUUAGACAACUAGGAUGUUGGCUUAGAAGCAGCCACCAUUUAAAGAGUGCGUAAUAGCUCACUAGUCGAGUGACUCUGCGCCGAAAAUGUACCGGGGCUAAAUACACCACCGAAGCUGCGGAUUGAUACCGAAUGGUAUCAGUGGUAGGGGAGCGUUCUAAGGACAGUGAAGUCAGACCGGAAGGACUGGUGGAGUGCUUAGAAGUGAGAAUGCCGGUAUGAGUAGCGAAAGACGGGUGAGAAUCCCGUCCACCGAAUGCCUAAGGUUUCCUGAGGAAGGCUCGUCCGCUCAGGGUUAGUCAGGACCUAAGCCGAGGCCGACAGGCGUAGGCGAUGGACAACAGGUUGAUAUUCCUGUACCACCUCUUUAUCGUUUGAGCAAUGGAGGGACGCAGAAGGAUAGAAGAAGCGUGCGAUUGGUUGUGCACGUCCAAGCAGUUAGGCUGAUAAGUAGGCAAAUCCGCUUAUCGUAAAGGCUGAGCUGUGAUGGGGAAGCUCCUUAUGGAGCGAAGUCUUUGAUUCCCCGCUGCCAAGAAAAGCUUCUAGCGAGAUAAAAGGUGCCUGUACCGCAAACCGACACAGGUAGGCGAGGAGAGAAUCCUAAGGUGUGCGAGAGAACUCUGGUUAAGGAACUCGGCAAAAUGACCCCGUAACUUCGGGAGAAGGGGUGCUUUCUUAACGGAAAGCCGCAGUGAAUAGGCCCAAGCGACUGUUUAGCAAAAACACAGCUCUCUGCGAAGCCGUAAGGCGAAGUAUAGGGGGUGACACCUGCCCGGUGCUGGAAGGUUAAGGAGAGGGGUUAGCGUAAGCGAAGCUCUGAACUGAAGCCCCAGUAAACGGCGGCCGUAACUAUAACGGUCCUAAGGUAGCGAAAUUCCUUGUCGGGUAAGUUCCGACCCGCACGAAAGGUGUAACGAUUUGGGCACUGUCUCAACCAGAGACUCGGUGAAAUUAUAGUACCUGUGAAGAUGCAGGUUACCCGCGACAGGACGGAAAGACCCCGUGGAGCUUUACUGUAGCCUGAUAUUGAAUUUUGGUACAGUUUGUACAGGAUAGGCGGGAGCCUUUGAAACCGGAGCGCUAGCUUCGGUGGAGGCGCUGGUGGGAUACCGCCCUGACUGUAUUGAAAUUCUAACCUACGGGUCUUAUCGACCCGGGAGACAGUGUCAGGUGGGCAGUUUGACUGGGGCGGUCGCCUCCUAAAGUGUAACGGAGGCGCCCAAAGGUUCCCUCAGAAUGGUUGGAAAUCAUUCGUAGAGUGCAAAGGCAUAAGGGAGCUUGACUGCGAGACCUACAAGUCGAGCAGGGACGAAAGUCGGGCUUAGUGAUCCGGUGGUUCCGCAUGGAAGGGCCAUCGCUCAACGGAUAAAAGCUACCCCGGGGAUAACAGGCUUAUCUCCCCCAAGAGUCCACAUCGACGGGGAGGUUUGGCACCUCGAUGUCGGCUCAUCGCAUCCUGGGGCUGUAGUCGGUCCCAAGGGUUGGGCUGUUCGCCCAUUAAAGCGGUACGCGAGCUGGGUUCAGAACGUCGUGAGACAGUUCGGUCCCUAUCCGUCGUGGGCGUAGGAAAUUUGAGAGGAGCUGUCCUUAGUACGAGAGGACCGGGAUGGACGCACCGCUGGUGUACCAGUUGUUCUGCCAAGGGCAUAGCUGGGUAGCUAUGUGCGGAAGGGAUAAGUGCUGAAAGCAUCUAAGCAUGAAGCCCCCCUCAAGAUGAGAUUUCCCAUAGCGUAAGCUAGUAAGAUCCCUGAAAGAUGAUCAGGUUGAUAGGUUCGAGGUGGAAGCAUGGUGACAUGUGGAGCUGACGAAUACUAAUAGAUCGAGGACUUAACCAUAUAA
rnacentral:rRNA from 1 species